GAUGAACGCUAGCUACAGGCUUAACACAUGCAAGUCGAGGGGGAGCAGGGUAGCAAUACCGCUGACGACCGGCGCACGGGUGAGUAACACGUAUCCAACCUUCCCAUAACUCGGGGAUAGCCUUUCGAAAGAAAGAUUAAUACCCGAUAGUACUUUUUCAAGGCAUCUUUUUUAAGUUAAAGAUUUAUUGGUUAUGGAUGGGGAUGCGUUCCAUUAGAUAGUUGGUGAGGUAACGGCUCACCAAGUCUUCGAUGGAUAGGGGUUAUGAGAGGAAGGUCCCCCACAUUGGUACUGAGACACGGACCAAACUCCUACGGGAGGCAGCAGUGAGGAAUAUUGGUCAAUGGGCGAGAGCCUGAACCAGCCAAGUAGCGUGAAGGAUGAAGGUCCUAUGGAUUGUAAACUUCUUUUAUAGUAGAAUAAAGUGAUCCACGUGUGGAUUUUUGUAUGUAUACUAUGAAUAAGGAUCGGCUAACUCCGUGCCAGCAGCCGCCGUAAAAC
rnacentral:rRNA from 1 species